CUUAGCUCUGAUUCAUAAACAAAACAAAAACCAUAGCCUCUGUCCAGCAACCAGACUCCUGAGAUUCCAUCCUGGGACCAAGAGAGUAUACACUGGCUAAUGUUGAUGGAAAAUAUGUGACUUAAUGUUUCUACAGGCUACAAUUGUAAAUCUGUGAAAGCUAAUUUGUACAUGGACAAUGAGAAGCUUGUGUUGUAGACGAAAGAAAACAUUGCUUUAAUCUUG
rnacentral:lncRNA from 1 species